rfam:Erythranthe guttata cultivar DTN x IM62 scaffold_83_contig_15, whole genome shotgun sequence.
GGUUUGAUGCCACGUCGCCGGUAGCAAUUUGCUUGCAGUGGCCGGCGGUGUUCAGAUUGAACCUAAAUUAAUUUCAUGUUUCGCAUAUUGAUAGGAAUCUGUGAUGAUUUAUAUACAUUCAUACACAGAGCCGUUUUUUGCGAUUACAUUU